AUAAAACCACGAUUGGACUUUUGUAACAUUACUUGUGGCCAAAUAUCUAGACUAACUAUUGUUCUGUUGUGGGUCGCACCCCUUAUUCCCUCUGUCCGUCCCCUAAAACCCUUUUCCAUAUGGCUGCAUUUUCAAUUAACAUCAGAAUAAUUAAAGAACACACACCUACAACAAUGGGCGGCUUCUCCCAUGCAAGGCACUGCCCGGCCCCCGCUGGGAGCAAAUCAGGGUUCAGUGUCUUGCCCAAGGACACUUCGACAUGUGAACAGUUGGAGCCAGGAUUCGAACCAGCAACCCUUCAGUCACUGGAGGACCCGCUCUUCCAACUGAUCCAUAGCCGCCAAAUACAAUAGAGGUUCGAGUCUUCAAAGAGGACUGAUUUGCAUCUUACGAGAUAAGGGUACCAUUUGUGCACCAGGCCAGUGUGUUAGACGCCAGCAGGCGGGUGUGGGUAUUUCAUGGAGACAGAGUGUCACCUUGUGGCCACCUUCCGACCACCUUCCGGCCCAACGGAAACCAGUCUUCUACCGGGGGACCAUCGACUCAGAACCACAGGCGAAAAAAUUAACCUAAAAGUGGCGCCACGAACAGGAUUCUUUGCUGCACUUCCAGGCGACGACACCGCAGGGCCGCUUCAGAUUUGCCGGCUAGAAGAGCGGCUCCAAAUACCGGAGACAAAUUCCUUGUGUGUUUUUUGGACAUACUUGGCAAAUAAAGAUGAUUCUGAUGAUUCUGUGAUGAUUCUGAGGAGAGCCACACGCCCCCCACAACCCGCACAGCCCGCGAUGCUGCCAGUCCCAGCCCAGCCCGAGGGUAUAUAAUAUACACACACACACACACACACACACACACACACACACACACACCCCUCCUUGUGCCAUCACCUAAUCAUGGUGGAGGGGUUUGUGUGUCCCAAUGAUCCUAGGAGCUAAGUUAUCUGGGGCUUCACGCCCCUGGUAGGGUCACCCAUGGCAAACAGGUCCUAGGUGAGGGACUAGACAAAGCAUGGCUCCAAAACCCCCUAUGAUUAAUAAAAUAGAUGGAUGUAGGUUUCCUUUUCCCGGACGUGGGUCACAACAGCCCCCAUCAGGAGCCAGGCCUGGAGGCCGAGCCUGCGCCCAUAGGGCCUGGCCAGGCACAGCCCGAAAGGAUAACAUGGGUUCCCCUUCCCAUGGGCUCACCACCUGUGGGAGGGAACCAUAGGGGUCUGGUGCAGUGUGAGCUGGACGGUGGCCCAAGGCGGGGACAUUGGCGAUCCGAUCCCCGGCUACAGAAGCUGGCUCUAGGUACGGGGAAUGUCACCUCUCUGGCAACAGGAGCCCAAGUUGGUGUGUGAGGUUGAGAAGUUCCGAUUAGAUAUAGUCGAGCUUGCCUCUACAUAUUGCUUGGGCUCUGGUACCAGUCCUCUUGAGAGGUGUUGGAGUCUCUUACACUCUGGAGUUGCCCACGGUGAGAGGCGCUGAGCAGGUGUUGUUAUACUUAUGUAUUGCCCUCCGGCUCGGUGCCUGUACAUUGGGGUUUCCCAAUGGGGUGGACGGGAGGGUAGCCUCCCUCCGCCUUCAGAGUAUCCACCCUUUUUGGAGUCCUUGGAGGGGAUGCUGGAGAGGGCUCCCGCUCGGGACUCCCAUCGUUUUGCUGGGGGCUUUCAAUGCUCAUGUGGGCAAUGACAGUGAGACCUGGGUGUGAUGUGAAGGGUGUGAUUGGGAAGAACGGCACCCCCCCAGGACUUCUGUGCUCAUCACGGGUUGUCCAUAACGAACACCAUGCUCAUGUCCACACGUGCACUCGGCACCAGGACACCCGAGGUCGCAGUUCGAUGAUCGACUUUGUGGUCGUGUCCCCGGACUUGCGGCCGCAUGUCAUGGACACUCGGGUGAAGACAGGGGCUAUCACCUGAUCACCACCUGGUGGUGAGUAGGCUCCGAUGGUGGGGGAAGAUGCCGGUCUGACCUGGCAGGCCCAAAUGUAUUGUGAGGAUCUGCUGGGAACGUCUGGCAGAGUCCCCAACUCCCACCUCCGGCAGAACUUCAUCCACGUCUCGGGGAAGGCGGGGGACAUUGAGUCAGAGUGGACCAUGUUCCGUGCCUCCAUUGCCAAGGCGACCGACCGGAGCUGUGGUAAGCGGUGCCUGUUGUGGUAGCAAUCCCCGAAGCCGUUGGUGGACACCAGCGGUGAGGGAUGCCGUCAAGCUGAAGAAGGAGUCCUGUUAGGCCUUUUUGGCCUGUGGGACACCUGAGGCAGCUGAUUGAUACUGGCUGGCCAAGCGGAAUGCAGCUUUUGUGGUUGCUGAGGCAAAAGCUCGGACAUGGGAGGAGUUCGGUGAGGUCAUGGAAAACGACUUCCGGACGGCUAUGCCAAAAGGCGAAGCUCUCAAUUUACUGGUCGAUCUAUGUUCCACAGGGUGUCCGGGCUCUCCUUUAGAGAUAGGGGGAGAAGCUCGGUCAUCCAGGAGGGUCUCAGAGUAGAGCCGCUGCUCCUCCGCAUUGAGAGGAGCCAGAUGAGGUGGCUCGGGCAUCUGAUUAGUAUGCCUCCAGGACGCCCCCCUGGUUAGGUGUUCCGGGCAUGUCCUACCGGGAGGAGACCCCAGGGACGACCCAGGACACGCUGGAGAGACUACAUCUCUUGGCUGGCCUGGGAGCGCCUAGGGAUCCCCCCCGGGGGAGCUGGAUGAGGUGGUCUGCAACAACUCUAAUAGGCCUACUGCUGCUAAGCAGCAAUGGCCUUUCAAAACCUGAUUAACAUUUCCAUAUGGAUGAUUACAGCUGCAGUUACAGACUUUGUUUGUUGUUAUUGUAUUGUUAUUGUCAUUUAUUGUACAGUAUUUAUAUAUUUGUCAUUUUCUGUUGAUUAAAAUAAAAGAGAGAGUGCUAGAUGAUUGUGGGCUUACAAUAUCUGUUUAUGAAUGUAUUUUUUCAAUUGGUCAAUAUUUAACUUUUUCACCAUGAACGGAAAUUUUAUGAGGAAUUUGGGUACAAAGUAGCUUGGGGCUCCCUUGGCUUUUUCAAGUCUCUUUUUUUUCAGGUUUCUGUGUACUGCCUUGUGAAUUUACAGCACUGCUUCGUUCACAUCUGGUUGUCUGACAGAGAUGUUGUAAAAGCAGCUUUUUAAUUAGUUGGGAGCUUGAAGCUCUGGACGAGAAGUUGCCACACUCUAUCCCUGCUCAUACCAAGGUCAACGACUGCAAUUGACAUGAUUGGAUCGAAGACCUACUUGUGACCUUGCGUGACGAAAAAAAAAAAAAAAAAAAAGAAAUAAAUUAGUGAAAUAGAAAAAAAAAUUCUAUGACUGUUCAGCUAAAUGCUUUUCGCUUCACUUUGCUUUUUCUUGUGUGUUAAAAGUAGGUUUGUUUCUUUAAAAAAGUAUUAUCUAUCUGGCACCGUCGUUCGAAAUGUCGAGAAAGACAAUGAAACCAGAGAAGUUUGGGGAGGCCACAGAGACCAACUUCAAGGAACCCGAG